UGGGAAACAGGUUAAUAUUCCUGUACUUGGUGUUACUGCGAAGGGGGGACGGAGAAGGCUAUGUUAGCCGGGCGACGGUUGUCCCGGUUUAAGCAUGUAGGCUGGUUAUCCAGGCAAAUCCGGAUAAUCAAGGCUGAGGUGUGAUGACGAGGCACUACGGUGCUGAAGUAACAAAUGCCCUGCUUCCAGGAAAAGCCUCUAAGCAUCAGGUAACAUCAAAUCGUACCCCAAACCGACACAGGUGGUCAGGUAGAG
rnacentral:rRNA from 1 species